CUCGCCUACACGACCGUUCACCCAAAAGUUACCUGAAUUAAUUUGCUCCUUUGGCCUUGCUGUUUGGCCUGUCAAAGCUGUGAGUUCACAGACCCUCCCAGGGCUGCCGCACUCCCUCGACUGCGGUUUUGGAAGGUCCCUUUUAAGACAAUAACUGCUGCUGCCCCUGUCUGCAUGCUGCUCGCGGGCUGUUUCCAAGAGCUGCAAUGCUUUGUGAUUUCUCCUUGCAGCACUUCAAGGGUUUCACAUCCUCCUAAUUCGGGAUCAGCAGCCAGAUGUGUUGUUUACUGAACUGACAGGGGAAGGUGGCCCAUACAUUGUUAAUAGCCUGAUUGAUGACGAACCGAAGGUGUUGGGGUAUCAUGCAGAACAGGCCCCCCCGGAGCAGUGCGGUUUACUGGCCUGGCUCUGAGUUUGCAGUAUGAAAGGGAGUGAUCGCAGAGUCAUAAAUGGCUGGGUAGCUUGUACCACUGGCAGGGUAGCUUGUCCACUGGAACGAUGGAAUUAAUUCAGACUGGUCCUUUGGACAAAGCAUCACUCGAGGCGGGGGGACGGGGAGAGAAUGCUUUACGCAGAGGGGAUGAGCUGGUGAGCUUAAAAGUCAGGACUCCUGUGUUCUCUCCCCAGCUCUGGACAGGUGUCGGGUGUGUAGCCUGGUCUCGUGGCAGGUUCACACUGGAGGUUUAUGACCCUCUGCUGGCUGGGGAGACGGGGGCUGGUCUGGUGCCCGUGGUCCCGGCUGCUGUGUCCCCCUAUGCCUCACAUUGUUGGGGGGCAGUUGGCUCACAAUGGGGAGAUGAUCUCUCUCACCCUCCAUCCAUCUCCUCUCCAACGCCAAAUUCAGCCAAAGGUUUAUGCAUUCAAGUGUUAUUGAAUCACUGAAGCUGUUCCAAACAGCCUAUCCCAGCGCGGACAGCAAGAGACCCUACCAUAAACAAUCCCGUAAACAAGGCAACCCACGGAACAAGCCCACCCCACUGCAAGAAAAAUGCCCCUCUUUAAAUGCAGAGGAUUCCCUCGGUCAGAGCCAGGUCCCAAACAUCCCGGGGGCUUGUCUCUCUCCUUGUGAGCGAAGCUGCCGCAUAGGAACAGAGAUCAAAUGAAUCCGGCGAUCGAUCUGUAAUUGUGUCACAUCCUGCCCUGUGCUGGGGAAUUAAUCGGUCUGUCGAGGUUAAUGGAAUGUCAGUUAAUUUCUUAGCGCGCGGUUGCCGGAGCUGCCUGGUAAACGCUUAUUGAUUUCAACACAAUUAAAGAUAAACUGAGCACAGGCGGGUCCGGGUGGCAUCAAUGCCACAAUGACACGGAGGAGGAAUUGGAGGAGCAAAUACUGGCUGUGUCGGUGCCCCUGGGUGCACAAGUGGCAUCUACAGGUGUUUUCAAAGCGCGGUGCAGUGACAGAGCACGAGAGUCUCUGCCCCGGAGAGUGCCCCACCACACUGACAAAGACAGAACCCUUGUCUCUCUUUCACAGCUGAGGCCCAGAGAGAGAGUGGCAGCAGCAUUUUCAAAUGAGCGCGGUGCCCUUUCAAGUGGCCACAUUGUCCAGAGGUCUCAGCAUGCUGGAUGCUGCUGCUUUUUGGAGAAACGGGCCCAUGGUUCGGUACCUGAAGGGGAGAGGGGAUCUUCUGACAAGCUGCCCCAAAGUGGCUGCCCUAGGUCACGCAGCAGGGGAAUUGCAGAGCAGGGAUUUGAAGCUGGGUCUCCUGGGAAGCCAUCCAGUGUUGUGUGCCCAGCCACCCACCCAUCCUGCUUCUGGGUGCAUUGUAAAUACAGUGACAGCUUGGUUAGCCAGCUGCCUGUCUGCGGAGACAGGAUGUCAGAUCAGACACUGCUCACUCCCUCAGGGAUGGCGUCUCCCAGUUUGCGAAGCCAGCAGCUCCUCUGGGCCAGGCGCGUUAGAUAGUUUAGUCUCUUCAAACAGACUUCCAGCCCCAUGCAUUGGAGGGUUGUAGAGCGGGGCUGGUCUCCUCAGAACUGGGUAUACCAAUUAAGACUGGAGCCAGACCCAGGCCUCACAGGCUGCUCUCAGACCGGUGUAAAUCCAGUGUGAUGCUGCUGAAGCUGGGGGCAUUACAGGGCCAUAUGUGACAGCAGUGCCCCCCGCCCCCUGACAGCUGCCCUAUCCAACUGCAAUCUUACUGUUCCCGGAGAGAAGUGAGGUGUUCUGUGCAGACGGCCGACCCGCGAGGGGGCAGGACAGGCAGCUGUGCAGGAGUGUGUUGGUUUUCUCACAGCCAGAGAGGCAUCCACGCUGUGCUGAGACACGAUAAAUCCUUCGCCGUUGUAAAACCAGCCAGCCCCUGCUGUUUAAUGCGCCAUGUGCAGCUUUACAUCCAAACUCUGCUGCGAUUUACAAGUGGAGAGCAUUUGGGAACCAGGCACCAGGCAGCUUGGGCUGGGAUGGUGAGAGCCGAGCGCAUUUGGAACUGCUCUUUAACGAGGGAUUUUUAAUGAUGAUGUGACAUUAAAAGUCCCCAAGACGGGAUGUGGGGCGGGGGUGCUGUAGCAUGAGAUUUACAAACCCUCUUGCGCUAAGUGUUUAAAUGAUGGAAGCUCUGUUCCUGCGCAGUAAUUAGGGCAUAAAUUGUAUUUAUAACUCAUAAACAGAAAUGUCACCAGUUUCAUGAACUGAGGCUUGAGAUAAUAAAAGGAGAUUGUAGUUCAUCAUCGGGGCGAUGGAGGGAGAUCGAUCAGAAUUACAGCCUAGGAAAGCUGCGUCCGCGAGUGGCAUUUCUCUGAUGCGUGACUCGUUCAGUGCACGGGCAUGGGGCCGAGAAUGGCGAUCACUGGGCUGGUGGGGGGAGAAAUCCAUCUGCCUCUGGGUCAGGGUGGUAGGGAGAUGCUAGGCCUCGUGCUGGCCCCUCUGAAUGGGGUGAAUUUGCCCUCUAGUCUCCAUUCCCGAGUUCAAAGCAGCCUGGGAGAGGCCCUGUAUUUGUCAUGUCUCUGACACUCCGCUCAAGGCCCCAUCCAUCCACUCGCCGCAGCAGAGCUCCCUCGCCCGCAGCUCGGCCGCACCGAGGACCACAGGGGAUACAUUUACUUUACGCAUCGGAGCCCGCCACGCCCCGGAGGCCGAGCAGAGACACUGUUAUUGUAGGCAAAGAGUUAUGGCCGCUCAUCACGCCGGGUGAGGGACGUGUGGGGAAUGCACAGCUGCUGGCCAGGCCAGGCAGGGGAAUGAAUCACUCCUAAACGGCGGUGCAUGCGGAGAGCUCACCCGAAAGGCUGCUGAAUCCUCUCCCAGAGCAGCGCACUAAGCUGCAAAGAGCCCGGCAGCUCGGAAGGAUGGUGGCGAGUGUGUGUGUGUGUGGGGGGAAUAUCUGACCGGGCUGCCCCUCCGUUUGAAUGUCCUGCCCCAGGCGGCCCCUCUCCGGUGGGAGAACAUCGAAAUGCCAAGAGAGAAAUCAAUGGAUCAGAGACCAGAAGAAGGACGCCUGGGAUCGGCGUGGUAUUUUUCAACUCAGUCUGCGGAUGAGAGGUCAGGGCAGCAAGUAAACUUCCCCUUAGCAAGUUUAUAGAAAGAAGCAGCAGAGAGAGUCGGCUGCUGGCACCACACCAGUCUGAGAACGCUGCCACACAUAGGGUCAGCUGGGAUCUCCAGCCGAUGGCCUUGUAAGCUAAUGCAGGACAGCCGUAGAGGACAAAAAAUGACAAUUGGACUUUGUGGAAAAUUCCCUCCACCUCCCAAAGUUUGGGUUUUUUUUUUCAUUGACGCCAAAUCCCCCUCAAACUCUUGUUUUCAAAUACCUCAAACCUGGGAAAGGUUCUGUGUUUUCAUCCAAAAAGGGGAAAAAAGGAAAAUUUCACUCCAAAUAGAAAUUUUUCAUGAAAAUGGUCAUUUUGGUCAAACCAACAAAGAAAAAACCCACAAACUUUUCAUAAAAAAAUGUAGAUGAAAAAUAUUCCAACCAGCGCUGCCUGGGAGUGCGAGGCAUUUCCUGCUGCCGCCGUCUCUCUGUGGCCGUGCGUGGCCAGAGCCGCCUGCUCUGAGGAGCCCAUGGGAUGAGGCAAGGACGGGCAUGGGCUCUCUGCCACCAGGCCUGCUGAGCUCUGAGCCAGCUGGGAAAUCUCUCCCCCACAUUGUCCAGGUUUUAAAGGCCGGAGUCUCAAAUGGGCCAGGAGUCCCUCCCUUUGAUGUGAGUGGCGGCAGGUCUUGGCCUGUUGGGAAACCCCUCCCUAAAGGUUCCUGUCUCGUCUCUCAGAGACUCCCCGCGUCCCAGUCACGCUCUGGGUGACUCACGUCGGCAGGUUGCUGGGUUUUGAACGGGGGGAUGAUCGUUCCCACGUUCCAGAAACGCUUUGUGUUGGCUUUGUGCCACAGCACGAGGAAACUAAGGGGCUGCCUCAGCGACUAGCUGCUCCGGCCAUGUCCAGCAGACGCUCUGUGCGAGGCACGUUCGGGGUUUUCAAGGCCCGACGGGUCCAUCGUGACCAUCCGGCCUGAGCUGCUGCCGUCGCCUGAGUCAGAGGGGCUCGCGCCAUGACUCUCGCUAUGACGUGUGCUGUACCAGAGCCAGGGGCUGAAUUCCAGUUACAAUCGGAGGCCGUGGAGCAGGGCAGGAAGUACACACGCUGGAAGGAACCCGUUCCCCCGACCCCUUGUCCUUGUCUUCUCCGCUCCACAACAGACCAGGCGCCGAUGGCUUUCCGCAGAGAAUACAGGGAACAGAAUGAGCCCCCACCCGCCCGACUCCAGACUGGGACUCGGCCCGUUCUCCGUGACGUCUCACUUGGAAGUUCCUGCUAAUCCCAGCAAAGAAACGUUAAAAACAUUUUACAUUGAAACAAAACCAAACGUUUUGGUUGACCUGAACUGACAUGUUUUUCAGAUUAUUUUGGUUUUUGAAAAUUUAAGAUUUUGACUUUUUGUCUCAAAAAAAUUCAGUAUCUUGAAAAUGUUCCCUGGACUGGAGAACCGUUUGCAGCUCAGUUUUUCUCCUGGGCCCGAGGCUCCUGGCUUAAGGCCCUUGGCAUUGUUUCAGUGUGAAUUCUUUUUCCUGAUUUCCUGUGUGGCUUGGUCAAAACAAUUUUGAGGAGGGAAAUAAAUGAAGCAAUCAAUCGGUAAUACUAACAGCAGCAGUAGCAUGGAUGCUUCAGUGGUAACCCAGAACAUAACUAUUAUUAUUGCUAUUAUAAUAGCACCUGGAAGCCCCCACUGAGAUCAGGGCCCCCCAUCAUGCUGGGCGCUGUACGGGACACAGUGAGAGACAGCCCCUCCCCAAAGGGCUCACAGUGUAAAUAGAGGAGUGAGAGAGGAACUAAACACACAGAGAGGGGCAGUGACUUGCUAAAUGUUGCACGUCAGAGGCUAGCACCCAGGUGUCCUGAGUCCUAAAUCCAGGGCCCUACCCACUAGCCCAUACGGCCUCUCGGUAGCAGCUGCUGCCCUCUCUGACCAUUCAGCCGGCUCUCCUUGUCCCAGAUCCCAGCUGAGGCGGUUUUCCCAACCCUGUUCCGCUCUGGAGCACGGGAGAUGCUGAGUUUGCAAUUAAACCUUCUAGAUUAUGACACUUGUGAAAGUAAAUCCUGAAAUUUCCCAGGCUCAUUUUAACAAUUAAUUUAUUUGACAUUAUGGGCAGCCAGCAUGGGAAUCUUGGCUCCACUCCUGCCUGCAAUCACUUAAUUAAACGGGGAGAAAUUACCCCCUUGCUGUUAAUUUAGAUGCAAGGAGAGACAUGUGGUCCCGGUCUCGCUCUGCUGCCAGUCUCCGCUCCCAAAGCAGUC